UUCCGUGGGCGGAGGAGUCCCCAGAUAGCUCAGGUCGGGGCGUCGGGGCAUUGAGCUCCCACAGCGUCAGGCAGGUCACCGAGGCUGCGCGGACUUGGGGAGCUAGCUUGGUGCGAGGCAAGUCUUUCCCAGGCCCGCAGCCCAGAAUCCUACCCCAGGCCUAGAACGCUCGAGGCAG
ensembl:misc_RNA